CUGUGUCUGGGGGAAUUUGAAUACCCAGGCACUGACCUACAAUAAUAUUUUCACCCCUUAGGUGAAAGUAACUCAAAAAGUAUGUAAGUGAUGUGCAAAAGUGGAACAAUUCUACCUGAAACGACUAGGAACAGAGACCCCAAGAGAUCCUGUGACAUGACCAAGAAGGCCUCUUCAGAAAGGUGAUGCGGGCCCAGAAUUACAUCACCAGCAGAGCAGCCAAGAGCAUCUUGGUGCCAGGAUGACCAAAGCCGAGAGGAAUGUAUUAUCACAGACCUCCGCGGGACUUGCCAGUGCAUUCCUUGCUGGGGGUGCUGCGAUGGGGGAGUCCGAGAGGAGACAAUUUUGCUCAAAGACUGAAAGGAAACUUUGUGGAGGAAAGAUCUGGGGUCACAGUCCUGCUGUCUCCUCUAAGCAGAUCUAAUUAUGGCCAUGUACUUCAAAAAGAGGGUUUAACUAAAACCAGAUUUAGCAGGGCACUGCUUAGGAAGUACAGACUGAAUCCCCAGCCUUGCCUUUGAGGAAAUGUGAAAUGCUUCAGUGCACUGGGAACGCUGUCACUGUGGUUGUAAAGAAUAAUUUGAAGCAAGGAAAGAGCCAAUUUUAAAUCCUCAUCACUUCAUUGAAUAAAGUCUUACAAUAAGACGUGACUAAACAUAAUAUCAA